ACGAGCGCAACCCCUACUCUUAGUUACCAGCACAUAAAGGUGGGGACUCUGGGAGAACUGCCUACGCAAGUAGAGAGGAAGGUGGGGAUGACGUCAAAUCAGCACGGCCCUUACGUCCAGGGCUACACACGUGCUACAAUGGCCGGUACAGAGGGCAGCUACCUGGUGACAGGAUGCUAAUCCAUCAAAGCCGGUCUCAGUUCGGAUCGAAGUCUGCAACUCGACUUCGUGAAGCUGGAAUCGCUAGUAAUCGCGCAUCAGCCAUGGCGCGGUGAAUACGUUCCCGGGCCUUGCACACACCGCCCGU
rnacentral:rRNA from 1 species